GAAUUUAAUUUAAAGUCUGGCCUGCCCACUGAAAUAUUUUUAAAGGCUGCGGUAUUUUGACCGUACAAAGGUAGCAUAAUCAUUAGUUUUUUAAUUGAAAACUCGUAUGAAUGGUUUAACGAAAUAUUAGCUGUUUCAAAGAAAAAUAAACAGAAAUUAAUUUUUUAGUAAAAAAGCUAAAAUAAUAUUAAAAGACGAGAAGACCCUAUAGAGUUUUAUAUAAAUUUAUUAUAAUUUAUUUAAAAUAAUUUAAAUUUUAUUAAUAUUUAUAUUUUGUUGGGGUGACAGUAAAAUUAAAAUAUCUUUUAUUAAUUUUUAACAAUGAUUUUUGAUUAAUUGAUCCAUUUUUAUUGAUUAUAAGAUUAAAUUACCUUAGGGAUAACAGCGUAAUUUUUUUGUAGAGUUCUUAUCGAUAAAAAUUUUUGCGACCUCGAUGUUGGAUUAAGAAUAAUUUUAGGUGUAGAAGCUUAAUAAAUUAGGUCUGUUCGACCUUUAAUUUCUUACGUGAUCUGAGU
rnacentral:rRNA from 1 species